rnacentral:rRNA from 1 species
UAAUAUAUCGGAACGUGCCCAAGAGUGGGGGAUAACGUAGCGAAAGUUACGCUAAUACCGCAUACGAUCUAUGGAUGAAAGCAGGGGACCGCAAGGCCUUGUGCUCCUGGAGCGGCCGAUAUCUGAUUAGCUAGUUGGUGAGGUAAAGGCUCACCAAGGCGACGAUCAGUAGCUGGUCUGAGAGGACGACCAGCCACACUGGAACUGAGACACGGUCCAGACUCCUACGGGAGGCAGCAG